ACGAACGCUGGCGGCGUGCCUAAUACAUGCAAGUAGAACGCUGAAGAGAGGAGCUUGCUCUUCUUGGAUGAGUUGCGAACGGGUGAGUAACGCGUAGGUAACCUGCCUUGUAGCGGGGGAUAACUAUUGGAAACGAUAGCUAAUACCGCAUAACAAUGGAUGACACAUGUCAUUUAUUUGAAAGGGGCAAUUGUUCCACUACAAGAUGGACCUGCGUUGUAUUAGCUAGUAGGUGAGGUAAUGGCUCACCUAGGCGACGAUACAUAGCCGACCUGAGAGGGUGAUCGGCCACACUGGGACUGAGACACGGCCCAGACUCCUACGGGAGGCAGCAGUAGGGAAUCUUCGGCAAUGGGGGCAACCCUGACCGAGCAACGCCGCGUGAGUGAAGAAGGUUUUCGGAUCGUAAAGCUCUGUUGUAAGUCAAGAACGGGUGUGAGAGUGGAAAGUUCACACUGUGACGGUAGCUUACCAGAAAGGGACGGCUAACUACGUGCCAGCAGCCGCGGUAAUACGUAGGUCCCGAGCGUUGUCCGGAUUUAUUGGGCGUAAAGCGAGCGCAGGCGGUUUGAUAAGUCUGAAGUUAAAGGCUGUGGCUCAACCAUAGUUCGCUUUGGAAACUGUCAAACUUGAGUGCAGAAGGGGAGAGUGGAAUUCCAUGUGUAGCGGUGAAAUGCGUAGAUAUAUGGAGGAACACCGGUGGCGAAAGCGGCUCUCUGGUCUGUAACUGACGCUGAGGCUCGAAAGCGUGGGGAGCGAACAGGAUUAGAUACCCUGGUAGUCCACGCCGUAAACGAUGAGUGCUAGGUGUUGGAUCCUUUCCGGGAUUCAGUGCCGCAGCUAACGCAUUAAGCAUUCCGCCGGGGGAGUACGACCGCAAGGUUGAAACUCAAAGGAAUUGACGGGGGCCCGCACAAGCGGUGGAGCAUGUGGUUUAAUUCGAAGCAACGCGAAGAACCUUACCAGGUCUUGACAUCCCGAUGCUAUUUCUAGAGAUAGAAAGUUACUUCGGUACAUCGGUGACAGGUGGUGCAUGGUUGUCGUCAGCUCGUGUCGUGAGAUGUUGGGUUAAGUCCCGCAACGAGCGCAACCCCUAUUGUUAGUUGCCAUCAUUCAGUUGGGCACUCUAGCGAGACUGCCGGUAAUAAACCGGAGGAAGGUGGGGAUGACGUCAAAUCAUCAUGCCCCUUAUGACCUGGGCUACACACGUGCUACAAUGGUUGGUACAACGAGUUGCGAGUCGGUGACGGCGAGCUAAUCUCUUAAAGCCAAUCUCAGUUCGGAUUGUAGGCUGCAACUCGCCUACAUGAAGUCGGAAUCGCUAGUAAUCGCGGAUCAGCACGCCGCGGUGAAUACGUUCCCGGGCCUUGUACACACCGCCCGUCACACCACGAGAGUUUGUAACACCCGAAGUCGGUGAGGUAACCUUUUGGAGCCAGCCGCCUAAGGUGGGACAGAUGAUUGGGGUG
rnacentral:rRNA from 1 species